UCCGGCCAUACCACAUUGAAACACUUAUUCCCGUAUGAUCACCGAAGUUAAGCAACAUCGAGCUUGGCCAGUACCUAGAUGGGUGACUGCUUGGGAAUACUAGGUG
rnacentral:rRNA from 1 species